rnacentral:lncRNA from 1 species
UGUUUACCUAAUCAAGCCUGGGCAAUGGCGGGCGCCCCUCCCCCAGCCUCGCUGCCGCCUUGCAGUUUGAUCUCAGACUGCUGUGCUAGCAAUCAGCGAGACUCCGUGGGCGUAGGACCCUCCGAGCCAGGUGCGGGAUAUAUUCUCGUGGUGCGCCGUUUUUUAAGCCCGUCGGAAAGGCGCAGUAUUUGGGUAGGAGUGACCCGAUUUUCCAGUGAGAUGAACCCGGUACCUCAGCUGGAAAUGCAGAAAUCACCCGUCUUCUGCGUCGCUCACGCUGGGAGCUGUAGACUGGAGCUGUAGACAGGAGCUGUUCCUAUUCGGGCAUCUUGGCUCCUCCUUGACAAGCUUGAAGGUGAGCACCUCGAAGGGCUUCUUUUUAUGUUGAAAGGCACGGGUUUGCAUGGCGGUUCAUCAGAGGUCAAUACCCCAGUUUGAGAAAGUCCACUGUGGGGAGGAAAGAGAGACUUAAACAAGCCCUGGAAAAACAAAGAAUGGAACACCCCUCCGCUGACUUCAACCAACUGCCUGCUGAUGCGGCCUGACUCCCAGCCCUUUUUGCAGUUUUGAAGUGACAAACUGACUAGGCUACAAAGUAUUCAACCAUGGGCUGGUUCUGGCUGGUUCACCGAGGCUGUGUACAAAGUGUCUUCAUGUCCUGUGUUUCACCUUUUAACAUACAGAACCUAAUUUUACUGCAUUUUAAUGUUAAUUCUCCACUCGAAGGUGAACAUGGGAUGUAUGUAACACAUAUGUUUGCUUAUCAAGCACACAUAUGACCCCCUUUCAUGAAUAUUCAUAGUUCCCCCUGUGACCUGUUGAAUAUGUCUGUUUAGCCAACCUGUUUGGCAUAAAACUCCUAUCCCACCCUAUCUCCCUCAAAGUACCUGUUUGUGGUCUCAGCUGGAGGUGCCACUUCCCAGCCUGCAGUUUGCAACCCUUCUCAAGAAAUAAAGUCUUCCUUUCCAA